AAAUAACACAUGGAAUCAUGUUGAAACCCAAAAAAGUGUUAAACAAAUCAAAAUGUAUUUUAUAUUCUUCCAAGUAGCCAGCCUUUGCCUUGAUGACAGCAUUGCACACUCUUGGCAUUCUCUCAACCAGUUUCACCUGGAAUGAUUUUCCAACAGUCUUGAAUGAGUUCCUACAUAUGUGGAGCACUUGUUGGCUGCUUUUCCUUCACUCUGGAGGUCCAACUCAUCCCAAGCCAUCUCAAUUCGAUUGAGGAUGGGCGACUGUGGAGGCCAGGUCAUCUGAUGCAGUUCUCUAUCACUCUCCUUCUUGGCCAAAUAGCCCUUACACUGCCUGGAGGUGUGUUGGGUCAUUGUCCUGUUGAAAACCAAAUGAUAGUCCCACAUGCGCAAACCAGAUGGGAUGGUGUAUCGCUGACUUCAGACAAUGGGUGUGGCAGAACGGGCUCCAGCCCAUGAUGGCACCAGCAGUCCAGUCUGUGAUGGGAUUGUGUCGCUGGAGCCUCAAGAAUCUCAAUACCACGGGAACCUGAGGAAACUUAAUCAGCAUAAAUUGGAUUGCCUCGCUUUGGUUUCCUGAUACUCGUAGGUUAAUGGGAGUGGUGUUGUGAGUGACCCGGCCUAUAGAGCAUUCGUCCAGCGCUUUAACAUCCAUGGGAGUGGAGAGGGGCUGAGUGUGGAUGCCCAGCUUGGACGCCAGGGUAGCAUCCAAAGUACUCUCAUCAGCUCCAGUCGAUGAGAACCCAGAGAGAUUUCGACUGGCUCCCCGACAGCAACAUGGCAUGGAAAUGGACGCGAAUAAGGGGAGAGGAAAAGUGCCUCUUAUAUAGAUAGAGUAAAUGUAAACUGAGGUGGCACAAGUUUCAACUGAGGGGGCUAAGCCCCCUUGUGGAGCCCGGCCCGAUGUUAUCACUGACUCACUGCACCAUAUACCAUGAUAUUCACGUCUCGGAUUCGGCCGGUGACACAGCCUUGAUUUGCUGGAUCUGUUUGUCUCUUAAUUUUGACGCUGACAGUGGACAUGGUUUACGACAUCCCCAGCCGUUAGCUCAGCACAGCCUCAGGCUUCAAUUUUGCCAGCUUGCAGGGUGUUGGUUAUUUUCAGUUCGCAGGGAUAGCUGGGUAUCAACUAUAUUUCACUGCACAUUAGUAGCAGGCUACUGUAACGACGACGCAGAAAGGAAGCAGGUGCAGAUCGUGAGUUUAAUAAUAAUGAACAUAGAGAGUAAUAAAACAAGAGCAGCGUCUGGAAAUGAAAACAGAACAAAUACUACCUGAUGACUCAAGUAGGUGAGGGC
ensembl:lncRNA